rnacentral:rRNA from 1 species
UACGUAGGGGGCUAGCGUUGUCCGGAUUUAUUGGGCGUAAAGAGCGUGUAGGCGGCCUGACAGGUCAGCUGUGAAAACUCGAGGCUCAACCUCGAGACGUCGGUUGAAACCGUAAGGCUAGAGUCCGGAAGAGGAGAGUGGAAUUCCCGGUGUAGCGGUGAAAUGCGCAGAUAUCGGGAAGAACACCCGUGGCGAAGGCGGCUCUCUGGGACGGUACUGACGCUGAGACGCGAAAGCGUGGGGAGCGAACAGG